GAUGAACGCUGGCGGCGUGCCUAAUACAUGCAAGUCGAGCGAACAGAUGAGGAGCUUGCUCCUCUGACGUUAGCGGCGGACGGGUGAGUAACACGUGGAUAACCUACCUAUAAGACUGGGAUAACUUCGGGAAACCGGAGCUAAUACCGGAUAAUAUAUUGAACCGCAUGGUUCAAUAGUGAAAGACGGUUUUGCUGUCACUUAUAGAUGGAUCCGCGCCGCAUUAGCUAGUUGGUAAGGUAACGGCUUACCAAGGCAACGAUGCGUAGCCGACCUGAGAGGGUGAUCGGCCACACUAGAACUGAGACACGGUCCAGACUCCUACGGGAGGCAGCAGUAGGGAAUCUUCCGCAAUGGGCGAAAGCCUGACAGAGCAACGCCGCGUGAGUGAUGAAGGUCUUCGGAUCGUAAAACUCUGUUAUUAGGGAAGAACAAAUGUGUAAGUAACUAUGCACGUCUUGACGGUACCUAAUCAGAAAGCCACGGCUAACUACGUG
rnacentral:rRNA from 1 species